GGUCGGUUAGCUCAGUUGGUUAGAGCAUCGCAAUAACAUUUCUUCUCUUCCGAGAAGAUAUACCUGCGAAGGUCAUAGGUUCAAUCCCCAUACUGACCA